rnacentral:pre_miRNA from 1 species
UUAAGUAAAAUCUGUGUGGAGUUGGAACUCGUCUUGCCUACGUUUGCCUACGUUUUCCGCUAGGGGCGCUGUUCCAACUGCAUACAAAUUCGAGCUA